GAUGAACGCUGGCGGCGUGCCUAAUACAUGCAAGUCGAGCGAACAGACGAGGAGCUUGCUCCUCUGACGUUAGCGGCGGACGGGUGAGUAACACGUGGAUAACCUACCUAUAAGACUGGGAUAACUUCGGGAAACCGGAGCUAAUAACAGAUAAUAUAUUGAACCGCAUGGUUCAAUAGUUAAAGACGGUUUUGCUGUCACUUAUAGAUGGAUCCGCGCCGGAUUAGCUAGUUGGUAAGGUAACGGCUUACCAAGGCGACGAUGCGUAGCCGAGCUGAGAGGGUGAUCGGCCACACUGGAACUGAGACACGGUCCAGACUCCUACGGGAGGCAGCAGUAGGGAAUCUUCCGCAAUGGGCGAAAGCCUGACGGAGCAACGCCGCGUGAGUGAUGAAGGUCUUCGGAUCGUAAAACUCUGUUAUUAGGGAAGAACAAAUGUGUAAGUAACUAUGCACGUCUUGACGGUACCUAAUCAGAAAGCCACGGCUAACUACGUG
rnacentral:rRNA from 1 species